rnacentral:lncRNA from 1 species
CUUGUUUGUAUGUGCAUUUAAGUAUAGGAGUUGUUUGAAACUAUAGAUGCAUGACUCAGUUCCCUUGAUCUGAACACUAGCCUGAGGAGUCCGAGUAGUUGCAUUGUUUAAUAGGACUCGGUAAAAGUCGAGUGAUUUCUUGUCACUCGCGAGUUAUAGGAGUUGGUUGUUCUUCCUCUGGUUACAACUAUAAGGACGAUGGACGGGGCAGGGCCUGGUGAACUCUUU